rnacentral:lncRNA from 1 species
GGAAAAAAAAUUGUAGUGAUAAUCAGGAUGGCCCAUUUCCCCAACAGUUGACAAGAAGGUGCAAUAACAUUAGGGGAAAAAUUAGCAUGGGGAAAUAGGUUUUACUUUGUGUAAUGACCCAUCCACUCCCAUUCGUUAUUCAAGCCUAAUUUAAUGGUGUCCAGUCUGCAAAUUAAUUCCAGUUCUGCAGUUUCUCAUUGGAGUCUGUUUCUGAAGGUUUUUUUUGUUGGAGAAUUGUGACUUUUAGGUCUGUAAUUGAGUGUCCAGGGAGGCUGAAGUGGUCUCCAACUGGUUUUUGAAUGUUAUAAUUCUUGACGUCUGAUUUGUGUCCAUCUAUUCUUUUUCAUAGAGACUGUCCGGUUUGGCCAGUGUACAUGGCAGAGGGGCAUUGCUGGCACAUGAUGGCAUAUAUCACAUUGGUAGAUGUGCUGGUGGACAAACCUCUGAUGGUGUGGCUGAUGGAAUGUACAUUGAUGUUUCCUGUAGACCUAACCAUCUUAGAAGAGGAUCCAAGAGAAAACCAAGAACACAGAAUCCCAGCAUGGGAAGGAGAAGGAAAGUACUGCCUUAAAAUUGACUUACUGCCAGAUGUAGUGCAUUUUAACAUUGAUAUGCACUUGUUCACACUUGUCAAAUCAUACUGUGCUUGCUAAUGUUGCAUUUUAAUCAAAUACAUUAGCCGUCUCUCUCUUUCCACUGUUUAGCAAGCCUCUUUCCUUCAUUUCUCCUCUCAUCCCUCCCUUCAUUCUUUGUUCUUUUUCUGCCUGUCUCUUCCCACCUGAUUCUUUGUCUCCCCUUUCUUCCCCUCCUCCCAAAAAAAACCCUCAAUCCCACCUAAUCUGCAAUUUACAAAAAACACUUAGGUUAGACUGGUGCCUGCCUGGAGGAAUUUAUAAUCUAAAUUUGAUAUACUCAGUACAGGCCAUAAAGAGGCUGAUAAGCAAGAGUGGGGGCAGCUCGUUGUUAAUCAGCAAUGGGAGGAUACAUGAAACAAGUGUGUUGUUUUUUUUUAAGGACAGAUUUGCAGAAGACAGUUGUAGGAGGGAUGCUGUUCCAGGGGUUAGCGGCUGGUGUUAAAAAAGGCAUGGAGACAAGACUAGAAGAAAGUGAUGACAUGGAGAGCAUCUUGGGCAGGGCAUUAGGAUGCAGCUGAGAUGACAGUAGAGGUGGAGAUCUUCAAAGGUAAGGCUGAGAAGCUUGAAUCUGCUGUGGAAAGAGAGAUAAGGCUAGUGAAGGGAUUUGAAAGGCAAUGGCUUGGUCAGAGUAAUGGGAGAAUCCUCUUCCCAUCCCA